rnacentral:misc_RNA from 1 species
UAAUAAGUGUUUUAUGGCACUUUUUAAAUCCAUAUCCACCUUGUGUGCAAUGUCAGUCGAUCUUCUUCAUGGAGAUCGACCAAACAUCAACCUUUAUCUUUUAACUCAUUGUCUGAAAAAUAUUAUGAAUAAACAAUUCAAAAUA